rnacentral:rRNA from 1 species
UACGUAGGGUGCGAGCGUUGUCCGGAAUUACUGGGCGUAAAGAGCUCGUAGGCGGUUUGUCGCGUCGUCUGUGAAAACCAGCAGCUCAACUGUUGGCUUGCAGGCGAUACGGGCAGACUUGAGUAUUUCAGGGGAGACUGGAAUUCCUGGUGUAGCGGUGAAAUGCGCAGAUAUCAGGAGGAACACCGGUGGCGAAGGCGGGUCUCUGGGAACGUAACUGACGUGCUGAGGAGCGAAAGCGUGGGGUAGCGAACAGG